GGCGACGAUCGGUAGCUGGUCUGAGAGGAUGAUCAGCCACACUGGGACUGAGACACGGCCCAGACUCCUACGGGAGGCAGCAGUGGGGAAUAUUGGACAAUGGGCGCAAGCCUGAUCCAGCAAUGCCGCGUGUGUGAAGAAGGCCUUCGGGUUGUAAAGCACUUUUGUUCGGGAAGAAAUCCGUGAGGCUAAUAUCCUUACGGGAUGACGGUACCGAAAGAAUAAGCACCGGCUAACUUCGUGCCAGCAGCCGCGGUAAUACGAAGGGUGCAAGCGUUAAUCGGAAUUACUGGGCGUAAAGCGUGCGUAGGCGGUUUGUUAAGUCAGAUGUGAAAGCCCCGGGCUCAACCUGGGAACUGCAUUUGAUACUGGCAAGCUAGAGUGUGGUAGAGGGUGGUGGAAUUCCCGGUGUAGCGGUGAAAUGCGUAGAGAUCGGGAGGAACAUCCGUGGCGAAGGCGGCCACCUGGACCAACACUGACGCUGAGGCACGAAAGCGUGGGGAGCAAACAGGAUUAGAUACCCU
rnacentral:rRNA from 1 species